rnacentral:lncRNA from 1 species
UCAAGUAUUCAGCCCAAGUUUAUUACCACAGUGGACUCGGGUUAUAAUUACCAACAGAGGAGAGAAUAACUAUAAGUUAUUUUGAUGUAAAAAGCAUAUUAUCCUAAGCCAACAUAAUAACACAGUUUUUAUGAAGCACAAUAAUUACUUUGAAGACUCACAGAAGUGCAUUUUUCUAAAAGAAGGAGGAUUCUCAUACAGAAACAGAUUAACAGAAACAGAAACAGCAACACUAGAGAACAGCAAAAUAGUAACAUUUCAAAUAGUAACAUUUCAAGAAAAUAUAUACACCUUCACAGUAUGUGGUGGUAUCCACUUACUGUCUACUGCCUCCAUAACUCCUAAAGUCUUCUGAAGGAUUUAUUAAUGCUUUGAAUAUAUGAGCCACCGUUUCUUUUCACAGCCUUUUCACAACUGGGAAUUCUUUAGAGAAAGGCAAUCUUACCUCAUUUACUUACUUCAUCAGUAAUGCCAUUACUAUGCCUACCUAAGAAGAAAAUAUAUCAUGUGGCAGAGGACUAGAAAGAAAAAACAACAACAAAAGGCUGUGAAGAUUUGAUCAUAUGCCUACGUGUGUGGUGAAUACAAUAUUUCUUUAAUCGCAAUCAGGAAUAUAAAUCUUAUUUUGAUGCUAUGACAUAAUAAAGUGCAUUAUUUUCCUGAAA